UAUGUGUCUUUCAGGUGAUGUUUCUAGUGUGACGCAUAAUCUAGUGGACGGAACGCUUCUUCAACAACUGCAGCCACCUCGGUAGCUCGCUGGACAACAAAGUCGUACCAUUCAAGUUAUUUAGGCAAUUUCGUGGUUUAUUUCCCACUAUGAGUUAAAUAUACUUAUGUGGAAACAACUAGAUACCCCAUUUAAUGUAAUAUUUACGUUGUAAGUCAACUAGCUGGCUGGUUAAGUUAGCACUAGUUUAGUCGCUAAUGCUAACCAGCUAUUAUCUCCGACCAUGAGUUCACUAAGCUACUCUCCUCCUGCUAUAGAAGAGGGGGUCUGCUGGACGGAGAAAGAAACUCUAGUGAAAGAGGAGGAGGAAGAGGAGGCUGUUACAAUACAAAAACAAGUAGAGGGUGAGGCUGUUGCCGUGAAAGAAGAAGAGAAAGACGUUUCAAUGAAAGAAGGGGAAAACACCUUCAGAGUGAAAGAGGAGGAGGAGGGUGUUACUGUGAAAGAAGAGGAAGAAGAUGCAGUUUUUGGAGUGGAGGAUGAAGAGGGGGAGAUUACUGUCACAUUAGAGGAGGACGAAGAAGAGAAGACUGGAGAACUGAUUAACACCAGUAAAUACAGAGAGAGAUUGGACAAUCGUGGAUCCUCUGGGGAGCCUCAACAACAUCAUGACGCUGACAAGGCAAAGACAAGUCUCCCCGGAUCAGAACUCCCCAAGAAACACCAGCGGAGACGCACAAGGAAGAAAUCUAUCUGCUGCUCUGACUGUGGGAAAAGAUUGAACUCUUCAUCGGACCUUAAAAUACAUCAAAGAAUUCACACAGGAGAAAAACCUUACGGCUGUGAACAAUGUGGGAAGAGUUUUACUCAGCGAUGCAACCUGAUAGUACACCAGCGGGGACAUACAGGAGAGAAACCUUUUAGCUGUGCUCAAUGUGGGAAGAGUUUUACUACAUCUAGUUAUCUAACUAUACACCAGAGAAUACACACAGGAGAGAAACCUUAUAGCUGUGCUCAAUGUGGGAAGAGUUUUACUCAGCAAAGCAGCCUAAUAGUACACCAGCGAACACACACAGGAGAGAAACCUUGUGGCUGUGAUCAAUGUGGGAAGAGAUACUCUGUUAAAAGAUCUCUGAUUAAACAUCAGAAAAUACAUGGAGUUGUUUCAUGAUAUCAAUAAAAUAAUGUCACAAUGUAGAAUGUUUUUAAUAUGUCGUAGGAGUAUUUUAAUGAAUGUCAGAAUGUAAACGUUUGCCCCCCUUUUCAGGUGAUAUUAGCCUCAGGGGAAAAAUCCAGGCUCUGAAUUUAAAGAGUUACUAUUUAUGAGAUUUAACAAAAAAGUGACAAACAAAAAUAGAGCUGUGUUACACUUACCACGUUGGUGACCCACUUGAAUCAAAAUACAACACUUCAAAAUGUUUAGGUUUUCAAUAUAUCCCAAACUGUUUUGACAUAUUGGUGAUUUGGACACAUUAAAACUGUGUUUUGACAUUGCGCUAUUCCCAUUCAGCAAAAUGUAAUUGAACAGAUGUCUUCUCUGGUCGUUUUUUUUCAAUGACUUGAAAACAACUUAAUUUCAACGUACUUGCAGCCUAUACACAUCGGCAAUUGGUCUAUAAUAAAUUUGAUUAACAAUCCUACAUCACUCCAGUAUUUCCUGACAACAUUCAAGUGCUAAUUGUCUUUAUUCCACUACUGAAGAAGCAUGACUCAAAUCACCUCAUAUUUCAAACAUCCAGCCUGACAAAAGAUACGUGUUUUAUUAUUCCAUGCCUCAACAUUAAGUGAUUAAUUGUCAAUACAUAUUAACAAAAGUGUGUAUAUUUGGUUUUGAUAUUUCAUAUUUACAAUUCAUGUAACAUUUAGUAAUAAUUAUUUAUGCAACCAACUGACAAUUUUUGGGUACAAUUAUAUUGACAUUGUUGCCCAGCUUUUAGAAUAUCAGGGUUAAUUCUCAGAUGUGCCAACCCAAAUGUACUAGAGGAUGACAUUGGGAACUGGGCCCCGAUCCAACAACAUGCCUAUCUAGUGAACCCUGAAAAGAGAGAGAAGCUCUGCAGUGAGGUGGAAAGUAACUAAGGAUAUUGCAGGAGUUUCCUCUUGAAAUCAGAUAUGUCCGUGGUAAGGACAACUUGGUUGCUGAUUGUCUCAAAGGUGGGCAGUUUGAAGAUUUGUGUUUUGCGUUUAGCCAAUGUGUUACCAUGGAUCACAAUUUAUUUUGACUGUCUGUUUUUCCAUAUUGGAGAUGACUUUUGUUUGGGCUCGUUCUAAGGGGACUAGAGUUCUAGAAGCUCGUGGAGUUUUCCCCAAAAAUGUAUUAUUUAGAAAUGUGUUUCUUGUUGACAGUGAACACCAUGUUUAUAUUGGUGAAGGUGAAGCUUUGUAGUUGAUUUAUAAUGUGAAAUGGCAGUAGUUUUCUGUUGGUGGUGAGCAAACUUGUCCAACAAAAAUAUAGGAUAUAUUGGUUGUCUUCAGUGGGAAGGUGUUACAGGCUUUGGUUUUUCCAUUUAUGUUUUGAGGUUGGACGUUAGCAUGUAGGAAAGGGGGAAACAUCGUCAGUUGUACAACUGAAAUGUGUCUUUGGUGCACGUCUAGCUCGUUAGCACGUAGGACGCACUGAUUGGUGUCACCUCGUUAGUCAGUAUGUGUUACACCUGUACUGGCUUGUCCAUCUUGUUAGUGGGAAGGUGUUUCACCUGAGCUGGUCCAGGUUCAAUUUAAGAGUGUCUGGCCCGGUGCUCCAGUAGUCUUGAUAGAUGUGGAGAAUCAACACCUUUAGUUGCUCCACUUUUUUGGUUUGCUUCCUGCCUUUAAGUUUGUUGUGGGUUUUUCUUUUGUUCGCCUCUCCUUGGGCAGAUUUAGUGGGUCUCAUGGUGGGUGUCUUUUAGGUCCCAGUUGUUGUUACUAGUCAACUUUCAGUGGACACCCCCAUUGUGUCUUUCAAAGCCCCUCCUAAAAAAUCCAAUUUGGAUUGGAUUUUGCAUCCAAUUAAUAUUUUAAUCAAUGGCAUUUCCUUAGGGUGCUCAUUAGUCUUUCAGUUAGUCUUUUGUUUGUUGUGUACUAAAUAUUUCUGUUUAUUUUCAUUGGAUUUUCCUGUGAAGUCAUUUUGUUGCAUUCAUGUCUGAAAUGUGCUGUACAAAUAAAGCUUGAUUUCAACAAAUGAA